rnacentral:snRNA from 1 species
AUACCUGUCUCAGCCUUUUGGCUACGACCAAGUGCAGUCUCUGUUCUUAUCAGUUUAGUUUAUGAUACGAGGGUCAUCGACAGUUGCUAUAUUGAUCUAAUUUCUCUCACGGGUGCAAGUCCAAAUCUCA